UACGUAUGGGGCGAGCGUUGUCCGGAGUUACUGGGCGUAAAGGGCACGCAGGCGGUGCGGCGCGUUUCGCGUGACAGCGGAGGGCUUAACUCUCCGAGGAUGCGAAAGACGGCGGCACUUGAGGGCCAGAGAGGGACACGGAAUUCCGGGUGGAGUGGUGAAAUGCGUAGAGAUCCGGAGGAACACCGAAGGCGAAGGCAGUGUCCUGGCUGGUGACUGACGCUGAGGUGCGAAAGCUAGGGGAGCGAACGGG
rnacentral:rRNA from 1 species